CUUGUCCUUCAAACAAGGAGGUGAUUGAAAAUGUUGUUGUGUUGUUUGAUGCAAGAAACCACUUGCAUCAUUAUUCCCAUACCAUUAUUCCAGAGAAUGACACAAAUUAUGCUACCCUCUGGCUUUGGCUACUUAGUGUAUUCAAGGCUGAAAUGCACACGUUUUGUGUUCUUGUAGGAAGCAAUCACCCCCCAUUUCUGACUACAAAUUAUCAAUAACUGGGCUAAUAACUCACUAACUAGUGAACAAAUGUACAAAUGUGCACAAGUCGCUACAUAUAGUUCUUGCUUUGAUCUACUCACAACCGCUCAUGCUGUAAAAGCAGUCCAGUUCAAAGUGAAUGGCACAGAUCUAUAUAUGACAAUGGUCUAUUUGUAUAUAGGCCUACUGCAGCUCUGAUUGGUUAUGGCACACUGGUCUGUGUAGAGUACAAGUCUGCCUGUCAAUGCAAUAGAAUCCUACUCUGAUGCGUUCUGCCUACAACAAAAUCUUUUAUAUAUUUAGUUUUGCAUAGUAAGUAUUGCACUGUUUGUUUUGUUUUGGUAUGUUGUAUUGAAAGUGGCUGAUAUUGCGUUCAUUCGAUCACAAUUCCCACAGUAAAGGGAAACACUGAUAGUGUUAACUAACUGGGAAAACUCUAGAAAGUUGAGUAAAGUUCAGACUCGCACAGGGCUGAUAUUUCUUCUGCUUAUCAGUCCCGGGGAGCUGCACAUGCGCAGUUUAGAGGGAACAUUGUUCACGAGUGUACACAGCACUUUUUCAAAAAGAUGAAGUGAAACUAAUUUCGCCUCUGAGGUUUCGCAAGACUGUACAGUGCAAUAAAACAUGUUUCAUUUGACCAAAGAUUUGUUGAUCAUCAGGUUUCAAUGGAUACUGCUGUGCCUGCCACUGUCCUCCCUGGGCUUUCAUUCUGCUACAAUGUGUAUGAGAAGAAAUGUUAUGCUAAAUAGUACAUUACUUUUGACUAGAAGGAAUAGGGUGCCAUUUUGAAGUCAUCCUUUGAUUUGACUUUGUGUAAUAUCUGGAACUUAUUGUAACAUUAAACCAACCUUGUUACCAACAGCCAGCCUGUUGCUUCAACAGUGCUACCGCAGCAGUUUCUUUUGUUUUGUCCUUCCUCUUUAUGCUGCUGGAAAAUGCAGAUCUAUGUCUAUGUCUUGCCCAGGCCCGCCUCCAUGAAGUCAGUUUAAUGGAACGCAACAGUAAACAUGAAAAACGAUGGACUAGAGUCAAUUAUUAAUCAGAGAGAAUUGGUAUCAGUUUCAAGGUAACGUAAACAUCUUCACCUGCUGGUUGAUCGUGAUCAUUUUGGAGAAACAUUGCAAAACAUUUUGUGUUCUGCAAGGGGCAGCAAUUGUCUUAUAUUUAUAUAGUGAUCGUUUCAGUUCACAUUUUACUGCUAUCAUGUUGCUGGUGAUGGCGUUACAUAUUGACUGAGAAAUCUGUUGCUGUAUUGAGGUAACUUGAGGUGAAUGCCGUCCACAGCAAGACUACACCUCCCACAAUUCCUUCCAACCCUUCUACAGUAUCUGUUCCUUCUUGCUUAAGUGCAAACUUGGCAGUUGGCACUGUAGAUACAGAUAUGAUUGACCUAUCUCUAUGCCAGCCUGCAUGGAACUAGUCAGGGCUCUUUGAUCUUUUUUGUUGUUGGUGAUUUUUGCUCAGCUCUACUAUGUACCGUACCCCAUAUGUACCGUACCCCAUAUGUACCUCUUGAGAUGUUUGUGUGUAAAGUUAUGACUAUUUGCCAAUUCUAACAAAAUGAAGACAUGUUAUUUCGUAGUGUAAGAGGCCAAGAUGAGAGAGGACUCCUGUCUGUAUAUGAAGUGAUUGUCAAGUGAUUUGAUAAUAGGUACAAAAAAAAGACAAUAUAAUAUUGUAAUAAAACUAUAAUCUAUUAAUGCAUUAACCUCACUUGUAGGCUAUUUAUUGUUCAUCAGCAUCGCUUUUGGUUUAAUGAUGAUCUUUUUUAUUUAAUUUGUUUUAAGCUAAAUUGUAAUAGUAGGUUUUGUGUCCAUUUUGACAGGAGCUCGAAGGCAGUCCUGUAUGUCCUUCAAUAUUCAGUAUAUGUCAUUUUAAUUUGUCACUUUGAGUUUAUGGUUUCCCAUCUUUCCUAGACAGUUCACAGAAGUCACUGUAAAAGCAAUACAAUACAUGUCUGCUUGAGGCCUAUGUACCUUACCCCAUAUGUACCUUACCCCAUAUGUACCUUACCCCAUAUGUAACUUACCCCAUAUGUACCGUACUCCAUAUGUACCUCACCCCAUAUGUAACUUACCCCAUAUGUACCGUACUCCAUAUGUACCUUACCCCAUAUGUACCUUACCCCAUAUGUAACUUACCCCAUAUGUACCUCACCCCAUAUGUACCUCACCCCAUAUGUACCUUACCCCAUAUGUACCUCACCCCAUAUGUACCUUACCCCAUAUGUACCUUACCCCAUAUGUACCGUACCCAUAUGUACCUCACCCCAUAUGUACCUCGCCCCAUAUGUACCUUUCCCCAUAUGUACCUCACUCCAUAGGUACCUCACCCCAUAUGUACCUUACCCCAUAUGUACCUUACCCCAUAUGUACCGUACCCCAUAUGUACCGUACCCCAUAUUUACCGUACCCCAUAUGUACCUUACCCCAUAUGUACCUUACCCUAUUUUGUAUGUUUUUAUAUGUGACUUUGUUUAUUAUUAAUGAUAUCAUUGAGAUUAAAGCUUUUUUACUUUGUCCAGAUAAAACAUGUAAAAUGCAGAAUAUUGUGUGAUAUUUCUGGGUAUAUUUCGCACUGUGAAAUUCCUGUUCAAAUGGCGCACCUUGAUACUGUUCAUUAAACACAGGGCAGUGAGAAAGAUGUUACACGGAAGGUUUUGUAAAUAUUUUCAAUUGUUGUUUUUAAAUACUACAAUCUUUAAACAAAUGAAAAUCAUAAUUGAUGGGGAGGCUAAUCUGCAUUCUUUCAUGUUCUAAGAUGUAAACUGUUUUCAUAAGUUUUAAGGAACCAAAAGCUGUAAACCCAUUGUGAGGAAAAUGUAUGAAAUUACUGCACAAAGAAGGAAAAUAAUCUUCAUCAUUAUUUAUUAUAUAAGUAGUUACAGUACCUGAAGACUGUAUUUUUUUGCCCAGCGACAGUUCAUUAGUACACAGUAGCAAAACAAUUCCCAAUCGGCUUUCAUUUGGUCCCUUGUGAAUACAACCCUGGAUUGAUUGAACUGAAGUUAGACAUGUGACACUGAACAGAAGCAACAUGUCCACUAGAGGGAAUUUUCUCCUCUCAUUCAAAUUCUGAUGCAAAGCGUGAGAAGAGCUAUGAGCUGAGUUUGAUUAACAUUGAGAAAAAUCAACGUCUGGAAGGUGAAUAACAUGAACACAACAUGAUGUAACUUUGAUAUGCUUUUUUAACAUGCCUGUUGUAAUGUGAAUGCAGUGAAGUUCAUUUACAGUUGGAUAUGUUGUUGUGGUUCUAUAACAAUACAAUCCAUCUAAACUCUCCACUCUACUCUCAACUCUAAACUUACCAUAUUUUUUGACUAACACAAUAAACCAUUGCAAUUAUAAUAACAUAUAUAUAUAGCAUUGGAUUCGAUUAAGAAUUCUAAAUUAGACUGCAGUAAUACAUGAAGGUGUGGUUGACUGUGAGGGACUGUGAUGUCAGAUGUAUCCUAUUUCCUGUUCUUUAUAAGUAGAUGUCAGACAGAGACAGACAGCAGUACACAGCCAGCUGUGGUGAUAUGAUGUCACUGCUGAGGAGUUUGCUCUUGUUCUACUUCUCAUUCAAUGAAUUGACCACAGUAGCAGGAAUCCAAAGAUGACUUCAGCUACCAGUUUUCUGUUUUUUGCGAUCCAUUUAGGCUGUAUCAGAGCUGGAAAAUCUUCUGAGACAUUUGUCAAACUGGAGUGUGAAGAAGAAUACCAUGGGGUUUAUGGUCAGCAGUCAUUGCUGGAGUGUAAUGUCAAAGCUGUUCAGAACGUGACCAUCUUGACAGUGACCUGGAAGAGGGUGGGAGGUGAUGCACCUUUGUUGGAAUACCAUAAACAUGUAAAUGCCUCAACCCUUGGGUUUAAAUUUGCUGAGCCAUCCUGGAACAAGGAUAAUAUGAAUGUGUCCUUGUUGUUGACAAAUACCAAGAUGGCCGACAAGGGGGAGUAUGAAUGCAUGGUGAGAACAGACAGUGGUGAUGCUACAGCUACAGUCAGCCUCAGUGUCACAGCUAUGUACAAAUCACCAACCAUGAGUUCCAGUCCUGAGAACUGCAUAAAACAGAACACAGAUGUGACCAUUUUCUGCAACUCUACAGGCGGGCACCAGAAAGGUUUGAUCUGGUGGUUUGACGAGUUUGGCACGAACUGCACAGGCAGUGCUGAACUCGUGGCCAAAAAGACAGACGACACACUGUUUAGCCUCUCCAGUAAACUGACAGUUCUGAAGGCUACAUACAGUGGUUCCACAAACUACUCAUGCACAGUGCACAACACCAAUGGAGUCCAGGAGGGGAAGGCAUCAUUUGAGAUCCCGUUUGUAUGUUCAGCAGGUUCAAAAGAUGAUUUUGCUUCUGACUCCACUACCCAGUGGCUUGCCCCAGUUGGGUUCAUAGGAUCUCUGGUCAUUGGACUCCUUGCUGCGCUGCUGAUAUUUAAGAGGCGCUCUGUCCAACGGGCUCGAAGGCAGUCCACCUUCCCAUUAAUGACCGAUCUAUGGUCGAGCAGAACGUCAGAGCCAUACCUAAAUUUGACAGUCCACUACAUAAAUGAAGACUGGACAUUGUAAAACGUCUGCCUACAGACGUCUUACAUCCCCGAUGAUCAUACGGGUGAAUUAAUAGCCCAGGAUCUCAAAGACUCUGGCAUUGUGGAAGAUGGGUGAAGACCAACAGGUGUGCAUGACAACUGACAGCGGGAGCAACAUGAUAAAAGCAUUGCCCUUGAACAACUGGACCCGCCUACAGUGCUUUGGGCACAGGCUUCACCUCGCCAUCGGUAAGUGUGACAUUGGAUAAUUAAAGUGCAUUCAAAAAAGUUAUGUUCAGGCCAACUGUAGGCUAAUGUGUUAGUAGUUGUCAUUCUGCCAAUCCAAUAGCAAAUAACCACAGGCUGUUUUAAUUAUAACAGCAAAUUAACUAAAUUAAUGCAUUUUCAAUCAAAAUGAUUAUAUAAAUGACAUAUUCAAACAGCGAGCGGUCAAACAUUCCUAAACGAUAGAAUAGACGUGUGGAUGUGUGUUCAUUUGUUUUGCACAAAUAGGCCUUGAGGCCUUGUAUAUUUUUUUAUUUUAAUAAAGAAAAUUCUGUUUAGAAUUAAGUCUUGUCCUUUUUUAAUUUGUUUAUAGAAAAACAAGAAAUCGAGGUGUGUAUAUAUAUAUAUAUAUAUAUAUAUAUAAAUCUCUCUUGAAUCGUCCAAACCUCUGGGGGGGAUGAAAUGGAGCUAUUACUUUUAGGCCAUAUCGCCCAACCCUACUUGCAAGUCGCUUGACUAACUUAAAAAAAAAAUUCUGCCCUACUGUUAUUUUCACUGAGGCAAUGCUCCUCUGGAGAUUGAAACGUUACAUGACAUUCGUCCACCAUAUGUCACAGAUCAGCUUCUGACUUGUCCUUGUCGGUUAUAGGUCACAAUGGCCACCCAAAUGACAGGCACCACGAUGAUGAGGCAGAAGGAAACGCUAUCCUUACUGUCUAAAUAGUGACAGUACCCAGGACCAGCAUUCCAGUCUUUAGUAACUGAUUCGUUAACUGGCAGUCUCUGGAAAGGGACUGUUUCCUUGACGAUCAAUAAGGGGCUUGUCACUAUCCUUUGAUGGACUGUUUCCUGUUAAGUGUCCAAUGACAGUCACUUUGGCACUCGGGUCAUUCUAAUUGAGGCAUUUGUUUCUUCACAAUCUACUGCUGAUGGCAGCCUUUAAAGUCUGUGGUUGAUUACAAAUGAUAUGUUUCUAUACAGGGUUGCCAUGGUGUCACUACACUCUCGAUUCUACCACUGUAGAACAUUGGUAUACUGUAAUACCAGGUAAUCUAAUCACUGUACACACUAUACUACAAGAUGCAUGGUUUAACAUUCCACAUUUCCUCUACUGUAGAUUCUACCAUAUUGGUUGUUAUUAUUAUACUGGAACACCAUACACUAAUGUUACAUGCCGUUCUAUACCAAGGUUGUGCGAACAUUCAAUUUCAACACAGCACUUUUCUGAAAACAUGUAGUAAAACUGGUUACACUUCUGAAAGAGGGUUUCACAAGACUGCACAACAACCACUCUUAUAACCAAAAGCCAGCCGGUUGCUCCUACCACAGAUUUAGUUUUAGGCCUUCCUUUUUCCUUGUCUUGCUCGAUCUGCUAGUGUAAAAUGCAGAUGUAUAUCUUGCUCAGAGCGCAACGUCCAGGAAAUGCAAUGGAAUGAAACUGUAAACAUGUUGAUCAUCAGGUUUCAAGAGAUACUCCUGCAUCUGCCAGUAUUCUCCCUGGGCUUUGAUUCUGCUACAAUAUCUCUGGGGAGAAUAUGAGAAUGUGGCACCCAAUUCCCUAUAUAGUGCACUACUUUUGACCAGAGGGAAUAUGGUGCCAUUUGGAAUGCAAACUUUGACUUGACUUUGUGUUUUAUCAUUUUUGUCACUGAAUGUAACAUAUAACCAUUAUCAGAAGUCAGUCUGUCACUCCUCCCACAGCUGUUUGUUUUUGGCCUUCCUCUUUCUCCUUUCUUGUCUGGCGCCAUCUGUUGGUGUAAAAUUCAGAUCUACAUUUAUAUCUUGCCCAGGGCUCGCCUCCAUGAAGGCAGUGCAAUGGAACGCAACUGUAAACCUGAAAAACGAGAGUCGAUUAGUAAUCUGAGAGAAUUAGUAAUCAGUUUCAAGUUGAACAUGUAAAUAUUUACCUGGUGGUUGAUUAUGAUACUUUUGUAAAUGCCACAAUUGUUUUAUGUUAUGAAAGAGGCUGCUACUGUAUUAAUAUUGUAGUUAUAGAAUGACUGUUUCAGUUCCCAUUAUGUUUUACUGCUAUCAUGUUGCUGAUGGCAUUACGUAUAGACUGACUAAUCUGUUGUAUUGUGGCAGCUUGAGGUGAAUGGUGUCCACGACAAGACUCCACCUCCCAUAAUUCCUGGCAAAUCUUGUAUCAGUUCCUUCUUACUUCAGUACAUGAUUGGAAGUUGGCACUAUAGAUACAGCUAGAAUGAUUCAUCAAUUUAUAUGCUACCCUGCUUGGCACUGGUCAGGGCUCUUCCAAAGAAGCUUGGGCUUUUGGUUUAGCUCGACUAUAGUGGUUUGAGAUGUUCAUGUGUAAAGUUUUGUUUAUUUUGCAGUUCAACAAAAUGUUUUCUUCUCUGUAUGAAGUGUCUAUCAAGCGAUUUGUUGAUGUGCCUGCUUGAGGCCUAUUCCACUUACGAUUUUGUUGUCCCCUGUUUUUUUUGUAUAUUUCACACUUUGAAAUUCCUUUUCAAAUCCCACACCUUGACACUGUUCAGGUUUUGUAAAUAGGAUGAAGAUUUUAAUUGUAGUUCUUAAUUACUACAAUCUUUUUUUUUUAAUGAAAAUCAUAAUUGAUGGGGAGGCUAAUCUGAAAUGUUCUUAUGUUCUAAGGUCUAAACUGUUUUAAUAUGUUAUAAGGAACCAAAAGCAGUAAACCACUGUGAGAAAAAUGUAUAUAAUUACUGCACAAAGAUUUUUGAUUUUUUUUUAUCCAUCAUUAUGCAUUAUAUAAGUAAUUACAGCACCUAAAGACAAUUUUCUUUUUGCCCAGCGACAGUACAUCGUUGCAUUCAUUAGUGCACACCGUAACAAAACAAUUUGCAACGGAAAACAAAUGUUUCUUAUUGGACAAGUUCAGGUGGUCCCCCCCACAUUUUGGUCAAUCUAUCAUUUCAUUCCUUGUGAAUACAACCCUGGUUUGAUUGAAUCCAGAGAUGUGACACUGAACAGAAGACAACUUGUCCAUUAGAUCAGGGUUCCCCAAAUGGCGGCCCACGGGCCGGUGGUUUUAUUUUGCCCCCCAAAAAUAUAGUUAUAUUUUUUACUACUUUUACUCAACUACA